GACAGAGGUGCCGAGCGUUAGGCGGAAUCACUGGGCUUAAAGCAUGUGUAGGCGGGCCGUUAAGUACCUUGUGAAAUCCCCCGGCUCAACCGGGGAACGGCUGGGUAUACUGGCGGCCUUGAGAGGCCUAGGGGCGAGCGGAACAAGCGGUGGAGCGGUGAAAUGCGUAGAUAUCGCUUGGAACGCCGACGGUGAAAACAGCUCGCUGGGGGCCAUCUGACGCUGAGACACGAAAGCCAGGGGAGCGAACGGG
rnacentral:rRNA from 1 species